rnacentral:rRNA from 1 species
UACAGAGGUCUCAAGCGUUGUUCGGAAUCACUGGGCGUAAAGGGUGCGUAGGCGGCGGAGUAAGUCGGGGGUGAAAUUUGAAGGCUCAACCUUCAACUAGCACCUGAUACUGCUUUGCUUGAGGUCUGAAGAGGAGCUUGGAAUUCUCGGUGUAGCAGUGAAAUGCGUAGAUUUCGAGAAGAACGCUCGCAGCGAAGGCGAAGCUCUGGUCAGAUUCUGACGCUGAGGCACGAAGGCUAGGGGAGCAAACGGG